rnacentral:rRNA from 1 species
GAUGAACGCUAGCGGCAGGCCUAAUACAUGCAAGUCGAACGGUCCACUUCGGUGGAUAGUGGCGCACGGGUGCGUAACACGUAUGCAACCUACCUUACAUUGGGGGAUAGCCUUUCGAAAGGGAGAUUAAUACCGCAUAAGACAGUAACAUGGCAUCAUGUAGCUGUUAAAGAUGUAUCGAUGUAAGCUGGGCAUGCGUCCAAUUAGUUAGUUGGUGAGGUAACGGCUCACCAAGACGAUGAUUGGUAGGGGAACUGAGAAGUCAAUCCCCCACACUGGCACUGAGAUACGGGCCAGACUCCUACGGGAGGCAGCAGUAGGGAGUAUUGGGCAAUGGACGCAAGUCUGACCCAGCCAUGCCGCGUGCAGGAAGAAGGCGUUCUGCGUUGUAAACUGCUUUUAUAUAGGAAGAAACGACCCUUGCGAGGGGCAUUGACGGUAUUAUAUGAAUAAGCACCGGCUAACUCCGUGCCAGCCGCCGCGGUAACAC